AGUGAACGCUGGCGGCGUGCCUAAUACAUGCAAGUCGAACGGAGCUUUAGUAGCUUGCUAUUUAAUCUUAGUGGCGGACGGGUGAGUAAUAUAUAGCUAACUUGCCCAUUACUAAGGGACAACAGUUGGAAACGACUGCUAAUACCUAAUACUCCGUAUCUAUAUAAGUAGAUACGGGAAAGUUUGUCGGUAAUGGAUAGGGCUAUAUCGUAUCAGCUAGUUGGUAAGGUAAUGGCUUACCAAGGCUAUGACGCGUAACUGGUCUGAGAGGAUGAUCAGUCACAAUGGAACCGCGCCCCGGCCCAGACCGAUGCGGGACGGAGCAGUAGGGAGAACCGGUCACAGCGUGAACGUCCAAAACAAGUGCGCGGUGUUGCGAAGCACACUUACCCGAGCGUCAACACCUUUUCAUGGGAAAGUAUAAUGCCGGUACCAAAGGAAUCUGCCCCGGCUAACUUCGUG
rnacentral:rRNA from 1 species